UUGAACGCUGGCGGCAGGCUUAACACAUGCAAGUCGAGCGGAAACGAUGGGAGCUUGCUCCCAGGCGUCGAGCGGCGGACGGGUGAGUAACGCGUAGGAAUCUGCCCAGUAGAGGGGGAUAGCCCGAGGAAACUCGGAUUAAUACCGCAUACGCCCUACGGGGGAAAGCAGGGGAUCUUCGGACCUUGCGCUAUUGGAUGAGCCUGCGUGAGAUUAGCUAGUUGGUGGGGUAAAGGCCUACCAAGGCGACGAUCUCUAGCUGGUCUGAGAGGAUGAUCAGCCACACUGGGACUGAGACACGGCCCAGACUCCUACGGGAGGCAGCAGUGGGGAAUAUUGGACAAUGGGGGCAACCCUGAUCCAGCCAUGCCGCGUGUGUGAAGAAGGCCUUAGGGUUGUAAAGCACUUUCAGUAGGGAGGAAGGCCCAGUAGUUAAUACCUGCAGGGAUUGACGUUACCUACAGAAGCAGCACCGGCUAA
rnacentral:rRNA from 1 species